rnacentral:rRNA from 1 species
CUACCGUGCCAGCAGCCGCGGUAAUACGGAGGGUGCGAGCGUUAAUCGGAAUUACUGGGCGUAAAGACGCAUGCAGGUGGUUUGUUAAGUCAGAUGUGAAAGACCCGGGGCGUCAACCUCGGAAUAGCAUUUGAAACUGGCAGACUAGAGUACUGUAGAGGGGGGGUAGGAAUUUCAGGUGUAGCGGUGAAAUGCGUAGAGAUCUGAAGGAAUACCGGUGGCGAAGGCGGCCCCCUCGGACAGAUACUGACACUCAGAUGCGAAAGCGUGGGGAGCAAACAGGAUUAGAUACCCUGGUAG